AAAGCAAACCGUCUUAUCGCUGUCCGCCCCUGGCGGAGGGAGGAAAGUCCGGGCAACGCAGAGCAUCGUACUUCCUAACGGGAAGGCGCUCCUCCGGGAGUGACAGACAGGGCCACAGAAAACAACCGCCCCCACGGGGUAAGGGUGAAAAGGUGGGGUAAGAGCCCACCGCUCCGCUGGUGACAGGGGGGGCAUCGGUAAACCUUACGAGUUGAAAGACCAAAUAAGCUGACGGUUCAAUGGUCAAUCGACGGUGAUUGGUUGUCCACGCGACAAUUGCUCAUUGAACACGGAUCAUUGACGAAGGGCGGCUCGUCCGGCGUCAGCGGGUAGGUUGAUGGAGCUUGUUCGUGAGGACAAGCCUAGAUAAAUGAUAAGAACCCGCCCGGGCGUCAGCUUCGGCGGGUACAGAACCCGGCUUACAGGUUUGCUUUUCAA
rnacentral:RNase_P_RNA from 1 species